rnacentral:lncRNA from 1 species
AGUAAGGGUAAUUUGGUCAUUUUACUUUUUCCAUUAACGUUGUAUCCCCUAAAAAUAUUUCUAAAAUUUUAAAUAGACAAAAUUUAGAUUUUUGAAAGUCAUAAAGAAAAAGUAAAAUUUAACCAAAUAUUUUUAUUAUACUUUUCUCUCAAAAUGAGAGAUAUGAUUGAUUAGUUAUUGGCGAUGUAGUGUAAGUAUAAUACAGUAGACUUCCUCCUAGAUUAGGGGAGAAAAUAGUCAAAUACAGUUGGAUCUUUGACAUACUCAUAUUUGCAUCCAUAUAUUUUCUCGAAUAUAAAUUCAGAUAUGGAUACGUGCAGAAUGCUAAUUUUUAUUAUCAUAUCCACUGAAAUGAAUUCAAAUUCAGAUAUAAAUUGGAUUUGUAUUCCGAUAUU